rnacentral:rRNA from 1 species
GCUCGCCGCGUGCCUAAUACAUGCAAGUCGAGCGGACCGAAGGGAGCUUGCUCCUUUAGGUUAGCGGCGCACGGUUGAGUAGGAGGUGGGCAACCUGCCCUGCAUACUGGGAUAACUUCGGGAAAUCGGAUCUAAUACCGGAUAACACCGAAAACCGCAUGGUUUCCGGUUGAAACGCGGCUUUUAUCUGUCACUGCAGGAUGGGCCCGCGGCGCAUUAGCUAGCUGGUGAGGUAACGGCUCACCAAGGCGACGAUGCGUAGCCGACCUGAGAGGGUGACCGGCCACACUGGGACUGAGACACGGCCCAGACUCCUACGGGAGGCAGCAGUAGGGAAUCUUCCGCAAUGGACGAAAGUCUGACGGAGCAACGCCGCGUGAGCGAAGAAGGUCUUCGGAUCGUAAAGCUCUGUUGUCAGGGAAGAACAGGUACCGUUCGAACAGGGCGGUACCUUGACGGUACCUGACGAGGAAGCCACGGCUAACUACGUGCCAGCAGCCGCGGUAAUACGUAGGUGGCGAGCGUUGUCCGGAAUUAUUGGGCGUAAAGCGCGCGCAGGCGGUUCCUUAAGUCUGAUGUGAAAUCUCGCGGCUCAACCGCGAGCGGCCAUUGGAAACUGGGGAACUUGAGUGCAGGAGAGGGGAGCGGAAUUCCACCUGUCUCGGUGAAAUGCGUAGAGAUGUGGAGGAACACCAGUGGCGAAGGCGGCUCUCUGGCCUGUAACUGACGCUGAGGCGCGA